GGCGUCAGGAUAACAAAACAGUCAUUAUAUAGUUCUUGCUAACUUACGCACGUGCAUUUACACACACUCCGUUGGUGACCUGCAACCCCCAUAAACUUCUCACACUGUUUAUCACCUUCUGGCUCAGCCUGUUCCUUUCCUUCAAGGUUAGGACCUCUCUGAAGUUUUACUCCCUUGACCAUCUGCUUCUCUAUCUCUCUAUACUAAUUGCAUACACACAUUUCUUUCCCUCUCCAGUGGUUCCUGGACUUUCCGGAACUAAUCAGACCAAUCGAUCCCUACAUUGAUCAUUACAUUGAUUAUUCAUUAAACCUGCUGUAUGACUAAUAAUUCAUCAUGGUUUAUUGAUUCAUUUACAUUUAUUAGAUAAUUCUCUUAUCAAUCUGUCAGUAAGAUAUGUCUACAUGGGUAUUGGGAUCUGACCUCAUUGAUCUGUCAGUAAGCUAUGUUUACAUGGGUAUUGGGAUCUCAGCUACAGUAUAAUCCAGCAAAGGAGUCCUACCAGCUAGCAGUGUAACGAACCUUGUCUGAUAACCAAUCAACCAUGACUUGAGCCUGUCGCCUGCAGUCCUUGGAGAAAAGUAGCUUUUUUUUCUGGUAAAGUUACACUGGGUACAUGGGCCACAUCAAUAAUAUACUGUCCGGCACAUUGUCUAGGAAAGUACUACGUGGCUGUGGUGGAAGAUCAGACCUCACCACCAUUUGACUGAUGUUGGGGGCGUGUCUGAAGGCUACCCGUCGGGGUUCUUUAAUCGUCUUUUCCACUUGAGGAUCAAUGAUCAAGACGUGCCAGUGUUUUAAUGAUGUGGUCCAACUGUUUACCAAGUGGGGAGUACUGAAGGAAGCAUUGAACAUGUUGGUCUGGAGGGAGGGGAGGUUUGGGGAGAACUGAAGGAAGCAUUGAACAUGUUGGUCUGGAGGGAGGGGAGGUUUGGGGAGAACUGAAGGAAGCAUUGAACAUGUUGGUCUGGAGGGAGGGGAGGUUUGGGGAGAACUGAAGGAAGCAUUGAACAUGUUGGUCUGGAGGGAGGGGAGGUUUGGGGAGUACUGAAGGAAGCAUUGAACAUGUUGGUCUGAAGGGAGGGGAGGUUUGGGGAGUACUGAAGGAAGC
rnacentral:lncRNA from 1 species